CCCCUCUCAGGGUCGCACCUGGAGAGUUUCCAGUACUCUACCAGUCUCGGCUAUGGGAGGGAGAGUCAAGCAGAGGCAUACCCAUUCCAUUCCUAGCUUGGCCAGUGGCUAAUGAGUGGAAGGCCACAAGCAACAAGU
rnacentral:snoRNA from 1 species